rnacentral:pre_miRNA from 11 species
AGGGGCUUGUGGGAGCUUCUUUACACUCCAGAACUGAAAGGAGAUACUACUGCUGGUUCAUGAAAACCUAUGGCUGCAUUCUCUAUACUGAAAUUUUGUAUACAAACUAUGGGUUUGCAUGAMCUUGGAGAAGUGUUUGCUUUUAUCUUUUCUGGCCUUGGAGUGAAGGGAGCUCUCAUAACCGAUCUA